GGAGGGGUGGCCGAGUGGUUGAAGGCACACGCCUCGAAAGCGUGCAGAGGUUUACGCCUCUCGUGGGUUCGAAUCCCACCCCCUCCG
rnacentral:tRNA from 1 species